rnacentral:rRNA from 1 species
AUGAACUACGUGCUAUGGCGCACGCAGAUCAUACCCCAACUGCGUGGCACUGGGGUCUUCGGCUACGUCGACGACACCCAGCCGGAGCCGGCAAAGCUCCUCGUCACCACCAAGGAUGGCAAGGAGACUUCAAUGCCCAGCCCUGUCCACCCACUCUGGGUCCGGGAGGACCAGCAGGUCCUUGGCUACCUACUGAGCAACCUCACAAAGGAGGUGCUCCUCACGGUGACCACGGUCACCACCGCGGGUGCGCUCUGGACGACACUCGCCGACAUGUACUCGUCGCAAUGGGCGAGUCGCAUCAACAACAUCCGAACUUCCCUCAUCAACACGCAGAAGGGCAACCUCUCCAUCACCUCCUACUUCGCCACCAUGCGUGUACCCGCCGAUGAGCUGGCCGCUGCGGGCAAGGCGAUCCUCGAAGAUGAGCUCAUCUCCUACAUCAUCCACGGGCUCGAUGCUGACUACCAGCCUCUGAUCUCUGCUCUGGAUGCUCGAGUAACCCCCGUCACCAUCGACGAGCUCUUCGCUAUGCUCUCGAACAUUGAUCAGCGGAUGGUGCACUUCCACGGGUCCGGCGGUGGUGGCUUCAAGUCCUCCGCGAACUCGGCCUCUCGUGGUUGUGGUGGCUCCUCUCAGCGCGGCGGCUUCUCCCAUGGCAGGGGGAGGUCCAGUGGAGGAGGCAAGGAUGGUGGCUCCAACCCCCGCAAUGGCGGGCGUGCUCCCUCCAACAACAGAACCGCCGCGGUGGUGGCAACCCUCGCACACGACCUGAUGCUCCUCGUUGCCAGAUAUGUGGCAAGUUGGGGCACACAUCAAAUGAUUGCCGGUACCACUAUGAAGAGGACGAUAUUCCUCUAA